UGAUUCAAUUUCCAUUGAUUG
rnacentral:piRNA from 1 species